CAAACAUUAUUUUAAAGCAUAUAAAGCACAAAGAGUUAACUAUUUCAUAUCCUUACAUUCCCCUCUUUGAGAAAAAAAUUUGCUCAUAUUAUUGAUAAAAUCUUCCCAGGACAGAGAAACUUCCACAUGGUAUUUUCAGGGGUGCUAGUCAGUCCCUGCGGGACUUUCAUUAAUUUCUUCAACUCGAUUCCCAUGUGGUAAUUCCUAAGGCCCAGUUUUAAAGAUGGGUUGAUACCCUCCAGUGG